GAUGAACGCUGGCGGCGUGCCUAAUACAUGCAAGUCGAGCGAACAGACGAGGAGCUUGCUCCUCUGACGUUAGCGGCGGACGGGUGAGUAACACGUGGAUAACCUACCUAUAAGACUGGGAUAACUUCGGGAAACCGGAGCUAAUACCGGAUAAUAUAUUGAACCGCAUGGUUCAAUAGUGAAAGACGGUUUUGCUGUCACUUAUAGAUGGAUCAGCGCCGCAUUAGCUAGUUGGUAAGGUAACGGCUUACCAAGGCAACGAUGCGUAGCCGACCUGAGAGGGUGAUCGGCCACACUGGAACUGAGACACGGUCCAGACUCCUACGGGAGGCAGCAGUAGGGAAUCUUCCGCAAUGGGCGAAAGCCUGACGGAGCAACGCCGCGUGAGUGAUGAAGGUCUUCGGAUCGUAAAACUCUGUUAUUAGGGAAGAACAAAUGUGUAAGUAACUAUGCACGUCUUGACGGUACCUAAUCAGAAAGCCACGGCUAACUACGUG
rnacentral:rRNA from 1 species